rnacentral:lncRNA from 1 species
GAGGAGACUGAAGUGUUGAUCUGAUGGACCUCUUUUGCAAACUGAUGGUGAGUCAGUCCUUCAGAGCGUUUUCAGGUUUAGCCGCCUCGGUGUGAACAAAGUUGGACUGUGUACAGUUUGAACUUGACUGACUGGACUUCCUGAGAGGAGAGACUUUAGAGCCACAUUAAUCCUGCCGGAGAAAAUCCUGAUUCAACCGAACCAAAGAUCCUUUUUUUCCAGCAGAGAAGAUGAACUGGGAUGAACAGACGAGGAUAUUUAUUGGAGACUUUUGGGAACCCUCUCAGGUUUCCAUCCAAAGAAAACUCUUUCUUGAAACAGGGACAAAAACAAUGAGAUACCAAAAAAUUCAGGCUGAAGUUCUGUCUGUAGCUUUACUCCCUGGUUUCCUUUUAUUACGUUUUUUUUGCAACAGCGAUGCCAAAGGAGGGCGCGACCAAAGCAAAUAGACUGAAAAUGCACAACAAGCAACAACAUGGACGUCUGAGGACGGCACUUGAGUUUUACAUCACAAACUGAACAAUAUAAGAAGACCUGGAGGACGAACUGUACAGAAAAUAAGGAAAAGAAAGGACAAAAAAAAAACAUAAAUUAUAUUUAUCUUGUUCCUUAUAUCAUGCUUUGGGCACUUUUGUUUUCAAAUGUUGAUAAUUUAAUGUUUGCAGCUCUGAUGUUGGUUAAUGUAAAGAGAGCAGAAAGAGACAAGAAGAGAUAAUGGAUGUGAUUUCUUAUAGAAAUACUCUCAUUGUUCAUAAAAAAGAUGUGUUUAAUACGACACAAACAGUGUUUGAAAACAGACUGAAGCUCAAGUUUAGACUCUUUUUUUUUCCCUCAUUGUAGCAUUUUGUACAUUUUCAGAGUUUCUUUAAGUGUUUUUAUUUGAGUACAGAGAUGACGUCUGAUUCUCUGGGGCACAAAUCCAAAAAAGAUGAACAUAUCCAGUUUGGAAAAACACUUUCUCAUUUCUCAUGACAGUUUUUCUCUAGUAAGACUUCAUAUUUGAAUAUGUUCAGAAGUGUAAAUAGUGCCGUGUCAUAACAGAAGACUUUGUAUCAGAUUGAGUGAGGGUAAAAGCACCGUUAUUACAUGGACACCAAAAAGGUUUUUCGUGCCUGAGAGUUUAAAAAGCUUUAAUAAUGAUGAUGAUGAUAAUAAUAAUAAUGAUCUUAAAACUGUAAAAUGCUCCUCCCAAAGACCAACAUCCUGCUGGAUGUAAACCCACAGUCUAUACCAAAACUGAGCAGGUGUUUCACCUUUACUUUUACCACACAGACUUCUGUGAGAGUCCAAACCAAGAGAACCCCUUUAGUUUAAACUUGACAAACUGCCUCCAUAUAAAAAUGGUCUCAUUUUUUUUUUCCAAAUCAAAAGCUCAUCAUGUUUUCGAAAAACAAAGUCAACAUGUAUUUUAUGCUUAAAUUGAUCACUUCCAACCAUUGACUGUAUUGGUGUAAAAGAUAGACAACAUGUCUCCACCUCCUCCAGUUUUACAAAAGUAAAGCCAAGAUAACCACCACCCUGUUGAAAACAUUAGGCAGUUGGGAUUCUUGUUUGUCAUUUCACUUUUCUGAUUGUCCAGUGCAUACUACACAGCAGAAGCCGCAUUUGUCAACAGAGCUGUCAAUCAUCUUUAAAGCAAAAUAAUUCAAUCAGCGUGUCUGAAAAAUAAACGUUCAGACAUGGAAUAGCAUGAUAAGAGCUUACUGAAAUGACAGAAACCAUGUUUGAGAGACGUCUAUUUGACCUGUGUUUUUAUUGUAUAGUUUGAUCCAUGUUCCAUCUGUUCACAGAAAAUGGGGGUGGGGUGGGGGGUGUUAUAUGUUUUGGCUCUAGAGGAGCUUUUAUUUCAUUAUUUCAUUUUUUACACAGAUUCUAACCACUUCUAUGUAAAAUUCAUUGCCAUUCAAACUGUAAUUUUCAGUGGCACAGAGAUCAGUAAUGUUGAAUUUCACCUCCUCAAACCUCCAUCCUCACAAAAUACUAUGGUCAUAAAUAUGAAAGGUAACUUUCAAACACAGCUGAUAUCAGUGGACUGUCAACAAACUUUUUUGUCAUGUUUUAAAUGACCAGAGACAAGCAAAAUUUGUGCUGGGUUUCCAACAGACAGGAACUCUUUUGAGAACACACUUUUGAUCUGAGGAAGCUGAAAUUAUCCCACAACCUUUAGAGUCUUUGAAACUUAAGUUUGAUUUUAUUUGAAUGCGUCACAGACUCUUGCAGAACCAGUUUCACAUUUUGACAGUUUCUUUCCUGAUUAUUCCCAUUACUAUAAAGUAUUUCUAUCACACUGCCUCCUGUAGACUCAUUUUACAGUUUAAGUAUUGAUUCAUCUGCUCUUCAAUGUGAUCAUGUCUGCUCUAUGAACUCCUACAGACGAGUUUGUGUUGGUCUAAGUAAAUCAUUUUGAUGCCAAAGUGAAACACCUCUUUCUUUAUGGAUCCAAUGCUGUAAAUAAAAAAUACAAACUAUGAGAUUUUUUUAUGUGACUGAUGAGGUAAAAUAUUUUGACUCAGUUAAGGACAAAAACGCAAAUGUGAAGAUGAACCAGAGCUCAGAGAAAAUUCACUUUCUGUUCUCAUCUGAAUCCAGAGAACAGCCUGAAGAGUUCACAUCUGAAAAACAAAAAAUGCCCUGUUAUUAAAAAGUAUAAACAAACUAAAAUCUGCUCAACAUAAACAACCGAAAGACUUCAUACAAUAUGUCUACACGCUGCUGUGUACUUAAAUCCUGCUUUUGUUAAGGGAGAAAAAUAAGAAAUUCAAUUCCAACAUUUCAUGUUUAAUCCAAAGAUUACAAAAAAAUAAUUUCCGUCUUAAUUAGUCAUAUAUUAUAAUGGUAAUGUAAAGCUUUAUUUUCUGUUUGACACGCACAGAAACUGAUUUUUUUUCUGAUCUCUGGUGAAGAUAAUCACUCCCUCUGUAAUGUGACAUAAAAUUAUCUGGUCAUGCCAAACAGAAAAACUUGUUUUGAUUCAGUUGGACUUAUUCUUGUUAGCAUGAUUUCUCUGGCUCCUCCCCUUUUUUUAAGUGAAUGACUAAAACCAAAAAGACGUUGUUCCAAAGGAAAUAAAGCUGAACACAGUUUUCAUUCUUUCAUUCGCA